UACAGAGGUCUCAAGCGUUGUUCGGAUUCAUUGGGCGUAAAGGGUGCGUAGGCGGCGCAGUAAGUUGGGUGUGAAAUCCCUCGGCUUAACCGAGGAAUUGCGCCCAAAACUACUGUGCUCGAGGGAGAUAGAGGUGAGCGGAACUUAGGGUGGAGCGGUGAAAUGCGUUGAUAUCCUAAGGAACACCGGUGGCGAAAGCGGCUCACUGGAUCUCUUCUGACGCUGAGGCACGAAAGCUAGGGUAGCAAACGGG
rnacentral:rRNA from 1 species